rnacentral:rRNA from 2 species
UGAGGAAUAUUGGACAAUGGGUGAGAGCCUGAUCCAGCCAUCCCGCGUGAAGGAUGACGGUCCUAUGGAUUGUAAACUUCUUUUGUAUAGGGAUAAACCUUUCUACGUGUAGAAAGCUGAAGGUACUAUACGAAUAAGCACCGGCUAACUCCGUGCCAGCAGCCGCGGUAAUACGGAGGGUGCAAGCGUUAUCCGGAUUUAUUGGGUUUAAAGGGUCCGCAGGCGGGCCGAUAAGUCAGUGGUGAAAUCUCAUAGCUUAACUAUGAAACUGCCAUUGAUACUGUCGGUCUUGAGUAAAUUAGAGGUAGCUGGAAUAAGUAGUGUAGCGGUGAAAUGCAUAGAUAUUACUUAGAACACCAAUUGCGAAGGCAGGUUACCAUGAUUUAACUGACGCUGAGGGACGAAAGCGUGGGGAGCGAACAGG